GGUUCAUUCUUGCAUUUCUUGAGCUCCCAAACUUCCCAGGGCAGGGCCUUCAAUGGAACUUUGACAAUUUAUACCAGCUGAGGAUCUGCUUCAUAUUCAACUACAUAUGUACAUUGGGAGUCCAUGAGAGACUAUCAUUUGAUCCAGGCAUGCCAAAACAUGGAAAUCUCAUCUGUCUGUAAAAAAUACAAAAGACAUCCAGCCUUGAUCUGCAAAUGUCAAAUGACUGAGAAUGCACCGUAUCCCUGAGGAUGUCAGGGGUGCAGAGGAGUAUUUUGAACUAAAAUCUAGUCUAUUCUGUAUGAAGUCUUCAAAUCUGAAGGUUUGGAAAUGUGUUGAAUAUCAUCAGAUAGGCUUAGGCUGGAAGUGGAAAAAGAAAAAGCCACUUCUAAGUGACUACGUCCUAGAUCUGCAAAGAGGUGUUGAAGCUCCUGGGGAAGUCAGCAGUAGCUGUGGGUGUUCAACAGCUCAGAAGAUCAGGUCAACAAUAAAUAAAUAGACAACAUGGAUCAACCUGAGCAACAACAUGACUCCAUCUCCUUAGAUGUAAGAGGAGGAGGAGCACGUCAUCCAGUAAACUGACAACAACAAUUUGCUCCUAAAGAUGAAACUAAUGCUGCAGCUUUGCUUGCAAAACAUAUAUCAAGCUCCUUUUGGUAUUCAGCCUAUUAUUUAACUUGUUCACUAAGUAAACAGAUAUAACAUUUUGUCAUGAUCAACAUAAGUUUUAAAGAUGACUUAUGUGCAGAACCCACAUCUUUCCCCAUCUCAGCUCAGGGUUCCAAGGUUAAAUAUUUUAAUGACAUUUAUAUGUGCAUUUUAUUAUAUACAAUGCUCGUUAGAACUGGAGCGGUUUACUCUGCGCAGAUUAGUA